AUGGUGCGCAGCGAACGGCACGGCCUGGGUGACUACGGGGCGUACCUCUGUGAACUAAACGAACGUGAGGAAGACCGAAGAAACGGGGUGGUGAGGAAGACGGCGCUCGAGUCGGCGCUGGAUUGGGUCGAGCACCACAAGCCCGCCGCCGCCGGGGGCCUGUGCGCGGCGGGCGUCUGGUACAAUUUGUUUUCGAGGCCUGGCAUCAAGCCCGGUCAAGUAAUCCUCCGCGCCUGCAGGAGAUGUGCUCCCUACGCAGCGCUUGCAUUAGCUGGGGCUGGCCUUUCCGCAUAUUACAAGUCGGAAUCAGGGUUAAGAGCUUACCACCAGUACACAAAGCGAUAUGUCUCCUCAGAUGUCAGUUCUCCCAAGAAGUAG
rnacentral:rRNA from 1 species